GAUGAACGCUGGCGGCGUGCCUAAUACAUGCAAGUCGAGCGAACAGACGAGGAGCUUGCUCCUCUGACGUUAGCGGCGGACGGGUGAGUAACACGUGGAUAACCUACCUAUAAGACUGGGAUAACUUCGGGAAACCGGAGCUAAUACCGGAUAAUAUAUUGAACCGCAUGGUUCAAUAGUGAAAGACGGUUUUGCUGUCACUUAUAGAUGGAUCCGCGCCGCAUUAGCUAGUUGGUAAGGUAACGGCUUACCAAGGCAACGAUGCGUAGCCGACCUGAGAGGGUGAUCUGCCACACUGUAACUGAGACACGGUCCAGACUCCUACGGGAGGCAGCAGUAGGGAAUCUUCCGCAAUGGGCGAAAGCCUGACGGAGCAACGCCGCGUGAGUGAUGAAGGUCUUCGGAUCGUAAAACUCUGUUAUUAGGGAAGAACAAAGGUGUAAGUAACUAUGCACGUCUUGACGGUACCUAAUCAGAAAGCCACGGCUAACUACGUG
rnacentral:rRNA from 1 species